UUCUCCGUCAAAACUCAAUGGGUACGGACUGUCUGACAGUUGCCGCUUAUAUAGCGGUUGAUUUCCCUCAAUUUUCACAUAUCAGUAAACAUGCAUUUUAAAUCAUUUUACAUACACAGUAUUUAAUGUUGCUACAUUGUUACAAUAUUGGCAAAUAUUCUUGAGUUCUCAUUCUUAAUCUCAAAUAUUAUGUUACACUUCUUGUUAACAUUUGUAACCAUAGUUGCUCCCGCUGGAUAUCUUGUUUAAUUAAUGUAUUACGGAUUUAUAAGAACAACCUCUAUGUGGCCCUAACUAACUCUGAGCCUAUUCCUCACCUUACCUAAAAGCUCUCCUUACCCUAAUCCUGCCUUUAUCUCUGUGAUAAAAAGAUUCCCUACUCCUCUCCGUAUCAAAGCCCUACCUCCUUACCCUAUCUGACCCUCUCUGUGUCCCCAUCCUUCUCUAAUCUGUCCAUUAAAAAAGAAAUGGAAGGAAAGAAAGGGAGAAGCCCAAAAUUAGUUCUAGUCUUCUACUUACUACCUAACUUGGAUCACCAUGAACAAUCUUAAGUUUUCA